CCGCUCAGAGUGAACGCUGGCGGUAGGCCUAACACAUGCAAGUCGAACGGCAGCACAGGAGAGCUUGCUCUCUGGGUGGCGAGUGGCGGACGGGUGAGGAAUACAUCGGAAUCUACCUUUUCGUGGGGGAUAACGUAGGGAAACUUACGCUAAUACCGCAUACGACCUACGGGUGAAAGUGGGGGACCGCAAGGCCUCACGCGAUUAGAUGAGCCGAUGUCCGAUUAGCUAGUUGGCGGGGUAAUGGCCCACCAAGGCGACGAUCGGUAGCUGGUCUGAGAGGAUGAUCAGCCACACUGGAACUGAGACACGGUCCAGACUCCUACGGGAGGCAGCAGUGGGGAAUAUUGGACAAUGGGCGCAAGCCUGAUCCAGCCAUACCGCGUGGGUGAAGAAGGCCUUCGGGUUGUAAAGCCCUUUUGUUGGGAAAGAAAUCCUAUCGGUUAAUAACCGGUGGGGAUGACGGUACCCAAAGAAUAAGCACCGGCUAACUUCGUGCCAGCAGCCGCGGUAAUACGAAGGGUGCAAGCGUUACUCGGAAUUACUGGGCGUAAAGCGUGCGUAGGUGGUGGUUUAAGUCUGCUGUGAAAGCCCUGGGCUCAACCUGGGAAUUGCAGUGGAUACUGGAUCACUAGAGUGUGGUAGAGGGAUGCGGAAUUUCUGGUGUAGCAGUGAAAUGCGUAGAGAUCAGAAGGAACAUCCGUGGCGAAGGCGGCAUCCCUGGGCCAACACUACACU
rnacentral:rRNA from 1 species